rnacentral:rRNA from 1 species
AUGGACUGGUGGCUGCGCGCUAAGGAAUCCACACCGCCAGCGCUCCGCAAGGCACUGAAAUCCGUGGCGCUUUUGGUGCCGUGGAUGAUCUGGAAGCAUAGGAACGCGUGCGUUUUUGACCAUGUGAGCCCAUCGCUCAAUGAGCUUGUUGACAGGAUCAAGGACGAGGCCCGAUGUUGGGCAAAGGCCGGGGCUCAAGGACUCAGGGUCAUUUUGCCAUCAUCAUGGGAUGUCCACUGA